GAGGAUACACCUGUUCCCAUUCCGAACACAGAAGUUAAGCUCUUUAGCGCUGAUGGUACUUGGUGGGAAACUGCCUGGGAGAGUAGGACGUAGCCACGUU
rnacentral:rRNA from 1 species